rnacentral:sRNA from 1 species
ACCAAAGUCAUCAGAGAGUAAUCUUCCCCGGCCGCGCCGCGGGGCCUGCAUCGACAGACUUGGCCACAUCGGUCAUGGUGCAGGCGACCCCUAAGCUUGAUGAUAUCUUUGACCGCACCUAAGUCCGGUAGGGCCAGGACAGAGUGCAGGACAGGGCGUUCGUUGCGUCCGAUUUUCCUGGAGCAUGUCUGGAU